GGGGGUACAGCUCAGCGGUAGGGCACAUGUUUAGCAUGCAUGAGGUCCUGGGUUCAAUCCCUAGUACCUCCA
rnacentral:tRNA from 1 species